rnacentral:rRNA from 1 species
UACGAAGGGAGCUAGCGUUGUUCGGAAUCACUGGGCGUAAAGCGCACGUAGGCGGAUUGCUAAGUCAGGGGUGAAAUCCUGGAGCUCAACUCCAGAACUGCCCUUGAUACUGGCGGUCUCGAGUCCGGGAGAGGUGAGUGGAACUGCGAGUGUAGAGGUGAAAUUCGUAGAUAUUCGCAAGAACACCAGUGGCGAAGGCGGCUCACUGGCCCGGUACUGACGCUGAGGUGCGAAAGCGUGGGAGCAACA